ensembl:miRNA
GUUGGUGCAAAAGUUACUGCGUUUUUUGCCACUGAAAGUAAUGGCAAAAGCUGCAAUCACUUUUGCACCAACCUAAUA